AACGCGAAGAACCUUACCUGGGUUAGACAAUAUAGGACCGCCGUAGAGAUACGGUUUCCCCUUCGGGGGCCUGUAGUUUAGGUGCUGCAUGGCUGUCGUCAGCUCGUAUCGUGAGAUGUCGGGUUAAGUCCCUUAACGAGCGCAACCCUUAUCCCUAGUUGCCAUCAUUUAGUUGGGCACUCUAUGGAGACUGCCGGUGUUAAACCGGAGGAAGGCGGGGAUGACGUCAAGUCCUCAUGGCCUUUAUGUCCAGGGCUACACACGUGCUACAAUGGCAGGUACAAAGGGUUGCCAACCCGCGAGGGGGAGCUAAUCUCAUAAAACCUGUCUCAGUUCGGAUUGAAGUCUGCAAUUCGACUUCAUGAAGCUGGAAUCGCUAGUAAUCGCGGAUCAGAACGCCGCGGUGAAUACGUUCCCGGGCCUUGUACACACCGUAGUAC
rnacentral:rRNA from 1 species